AACGUCCGAAUCUGAUCAGGAUAUAAAUGCAUUCUUUAUCGAGGUUUAAUUUUACAUUGCUCUGUUAUUGACAAAUACUGUUGCAUUGUGAUGUUAAUAUCUAUAUGAACUGAUAUUUACCCUGGACUGUCCAUCUCUGAUACGUGAUACAUUUCUAAAUUGUGCAGAAAGUGAUUUCACCAGCGAAUUUAUUUGUCACAUGGUUUACUUACCAGGUCGAAGACAGAUACUCGACAAUAUUUUAUCUUUUAUGAGAAGGCAUUGAGCUUCCUUUGUCUCCUUUAGGUAAUCUUCUGCUUCUUAAGGAGUUCCUACAAAAAUUAAAAGAAACAAACUUGACUGAUCGUACGAAUGGGUUGCGAGUGAGUCAUACAAUUGUCAGCAUCACUGGAUAUUUACGAGUGGUGAUAUAUACUACCAACAAAAUAUAUUAUUCAUGUAUACACCCAACGAUGUGAAGGAGAAUGAGCAGAAUUUGCAUAAGAUCGUGAUUAUCGAAACUCGCCAGCCAUUGACGACGAAGGAGACACACAACGUGAAUAUUUUAAUGAAACCUUUAUUAAGACUUUAUCGCGCCAAAGCCAAAUAGUGACUCCGGCAAUACAAACAGGUAAACGUUUUGCCCCGAGAGUCCUCGAAUGCGGAUGCACCACCGACCGACGCUUUGUCUUUUCUUUCCCUUUCAUCUAAAGUAAAACGAAGGUAUUCAUCUCGGUCUCUCGUGACCACGAAUCACUGAACAGUGAAAGAUUCAACGCAAAUAUGAAUCAAGUCGACUUAGGCCAACAUUGCACGUGACACUUUAUGGCUAAAGAAUACGGGCUAACUGUGUGUUUCUUGUUCGAGUCAAUACUUUCCUUUCUUUACGUUGAGCAAAAUUGAAGAGAAGAAUGAAUGCCAAAAAAAGAAACAAAUGAAACGUGGAGCUGACACUGAGUUGUAACGUCUGAAUGUGUGAUUUAUUGAAAAACUGUAUUGACACGACUGCGAAUUUGAUAAGGUUAGUUGAUAAUUCUUUCACGGGUAGAUGUAGAUGGUAUCGGCCAAGAUAAGUAUAGAUAAAUGAUAGAGAAGAUUAGUAGUGACAUUGCUGAUGUUUUACAAUUAGAAAUAUCGAUUAAUUUAACGAUAUUAUAAUAUACAGGUUUCGAUUAUUUCGUUUAUAAUUAAUACCAAUUACAUAAAAAUAUUGUUAAAACUGAUACAAA